CCGUAUAUAUUGCUCUAGCCCAGACUCUUUCCAUCUGUUAUUGGGGCGGGGGGAAGGAUUCUGCCCUUUAUCUUCCUUAGUUGCAGGUGGAUCAUUCCCAGUGUAAAGGCACAGCACAAUCUCUCUCCCUCAGAGGAGGGUGCCUGUUGUGUUCCUGCACGAGUCACUGCUUUGGCCUUCCUUCCUUCCAUUCAGUCAUCUAUUUCAUCUGCAGGAUUAUGUCUUGUCUCUACAUGGACUGCAAGUGGACUGUUGCUGCUGCUAAAGAUGCAAAAUCACCCCCUCUAAGAGAACACAGAACCUAUGAAACUACAUUAUACUGAGUCAGUGUUUUCCCUACACUGACUUGCAGUAUCAGCAGCUCUCCAGAGGUUCAGUUAGGAGUCUUUCCCACAGCUUCCAAGGGUUGAACCCGGGACCUUCUGCACGCAAAGCUCACUGAGCUAAGGCUCUUCCUCCAAGAUGCAUGUUGUGCCUCUGUGCAAGUCCCUCCUCUGAGCUGGCUUCCUUCUAAUUAGAACAGUGACUCACGUGGAAACACAAGUGUGGACUCCUUUGCAGGUGUCAUUCUCUUACACACCCUGGAGGAAUGGAAAUCCAGAGAAGGGAAGGAGUUUAUUUGGCUAUCGGAGCUUUGGGAAAUCCUGAUUGACGGCAGCCAGAAGUAGACGCAACAAAGAUUUUGAAGAGACAGAAAAAGUCUUUUGAAAGAAAAUUAUAUGAAAAUGAUGUAUAGAUGGUAUAUUACACCAGUACAGAUAGCAAAAAUGUACAAAACCGGGUCAAAUACAUGUUGGAAAUGCAGAGAAAAAGAAGGGACUUUUUAUCAUAUGUGGUGGGAAUGUAGAGAAGUUAAAAAAAAAUUGGGAAAUGAUAUAUAAUGAAUUGAAAAAAAUGUUUAAAAUGACAUUUGUAAAAAAACCCAAAAGCAUUUUUGUUAGGGAUUGUAGGACAAGACCUGCCAGGAAAAACAAAGAACUUAUUUAUGUAUGCUACAACAGUGGCAAGAGUCUUGAUCGCACAAGGAUGGAAGAACGAGGAAAUCCCAACGAAAGAACAGCGGCAAGAAAAAUUUAUGAGCUACGCAGAGCGGGCUAAACUAACAUACAAAUUGCGGGGCAAGGACAACUGUGACUUUAAGGAAGAAUGGGAGCUUUUUACAAAUUAUCUAAAAAGACAACAAAAUGAACUGGACUCCUUGGCAGGUUUUAAAUAAACAUACACAAACUUAUUGGUUGAUAACAUGAUAGAUAGAUAACAUAAGGAUAUGUAUAAUUUUAUAAAAUGCAGAGAAUAAUAUGUGCUGAGAAAUCAGAGAGAGGAGGGAAGUCUCUGGUGGGGGGGAGGGAUGGAAGGGGGUGGGGAAAAAGGGGGGAAAUAAUGUAUAUGAUUAUAUGGUUUGAUGAUUUGUUAUGUUGAAAUUGCCAAUAAAAUAUUUAUAUAAAAAAAGAAGAGACAGAAAACGAGGGUCUCUUGUGAUUUCCCCUAUGUAAUCAGACAGUAUCGUUAGCCUAGACACAUGUACUCUUUUGCAGUCCAACUCCUGCAGUGGCAAAGAAGCCCAGUAUUUCAGUGUGCGGGAAAUGUGGCCUCCAUCAAACAGAACUGCAAGUUUUUAGAGAUUCUGUGCAAAGAAGGAGAAAAACAUUAUUCCAGGGGGGAAGGAGGAAAGAAAAACAAAGCCUGAUGACUCCUUUACUUGGCAAUCACAGCCUGCUCAACAUUGGCUCCUGAAUGAUGUUAAUAAACUGACUAUUUCCUUUGCCACGAAUCUGGCCAGG
rnacentral:lncRNA from 1 species